CCUACGGGUGACUGCAGUGGGGAAUAUUGCGCAAUGGGCGAAAGCCUGACGCAGCGACGCCGCGUGCGGGAUGAAGGUCUUCGGAUCGUAAACCUCUGUCAGCAGGGAAGAACGGUCACUGUGCUAAUCAGCAGUGAAUUGACGGUACCUGCAAAGGAAGCACCGGCUAACUCCGUGCCAGCAGCCGCGGUAAUACGGAGGGUGCGAGCGUUAAUCGGAAUUACUGGGCGUAAAGCGCUCGUAGGCGGUAUGUCAAGUCAAGGGUGAAAUCCCCGGGCUCAACGUGGGAACUGCCUUUGAAACUGGCAGACUGGAGUGUGUGAGAGGAUAGUGGAAUUCCAGGUGUAGGAGUGAAAUCCGUAGAGAUCUGGAGGAACAUCAGUGGCGAAGGCGACUAUCUGGCACAUAACUGACGCUGAGGAGCGAAAGCGUGGGUAGCAAACAGGAUUAGAUACCCUGGUAGUC
rnacentral:rRNA from 1 species